rnacentral:snRNA from 1 species
GGUUAUAAAGAUGGUCAAGGAUCUGUCACCCCAUUGAUCGCCAGGGUUGAUUCGGCUGAUCUGGCUGGCUAGGCGGGUGUCCCCCUCCUCCCUCACCGAUCCAUGUGCGUCCCUCCCGAAGCUGCGCGCUCGGUCGAAGAGGACGACCUUCCCCCCUGAGGAGAGGACCGAUCUUCGGUCAAGGGUAUACGAGUAGCUGCGCUCCCCUGCUAGAACCUCCAAACAAGCUCUCAAGAUGGUCAAGGAACUUAGUAAGAACUUAAACAGCGCAAAAAAGGGAUACAGAGCCUGGGUUAGUGUUGCUUAGUGGUUAGAGCAUUGGCCCA